UAAAAAUCUGCCGUGCCCUUGUUACCCGCAGCUUCCUAAAACAGGGAAGGCGAUGAACAGCUGCAGCGUUCCCCUGUUCUCCAAAAAUGGUCUCACCACUCCUCAAAUCAUUGUCGCUCUUCUCAGAAAUUCUCCCUUUCCGGACUUGUCCAAUUUAUAUCAUUGAAUCAUUGAUGCUGAAGCUACAAAGUGAGUGCCCAUGGUCUAGAUUUUCUUUCCCAAAUAAAAAUCCCUUAUGCUGCUGCAGUUAUUUACUGAUCUGUUGGGAAAUCAGCUGCUUGACAGGGCUUUAGACAAACUGGAACAGGAAAUUUGCAGAGGGGGAGGGAGGGAUAGAAUCUGAUGGAAUAAGAAUUACAGGGGUAAGUUUUACUGGUAAAGGUUGCCAAUGUGUUUUGGCAAACAUGAAAUAUUGUAUACUCCCGGCCAUGGAAAAGGAUAUGGAAAAUUAAAGCUCCAAAGUAAUUUCUCUCCGCUGGAUACUGAUGUGUGAAGCUUUCUUAACGCAAGACAACUUGUUGAAGAGAGGAUUUAAACUUUUGAAUAGAUGCUUUCUAUGCAAAACAUUUGCUGCUACACUGUGUGGUAGCCAGAGAUAUAUGGAGCAUGGUCUUAAACAUUUGUGGAAUUCAAGGGGUUAAUUCCAAACAGUCCUAAGGAUGCUUUGGUAAGCUGGUGGCUAUGGAAAGUGGAGAAAGGAAAGGAAAAAGAUACGGCAGGUAGUACCAAGCUGUAUUUCUAGACACGGAGAAAGAAAUGCAAGAUGAAGAUGCCUUGAAGAGACCUCUGUAUUGGACUUGAAGCCUAUAGAUUUGGAGAUAGGUCGCGAGAUUGAAUAGCUCUCUAUGUGCAUUUCUUUGCCAUUAUGGCAGGCGGGUUUACUUUCCCUUCCUUUCCAUUUUCACUUUCCAACCCUUCCCUUCGAUAACUACUA